UUUCUAAAGGACUCUCGGCAACGGAUAUCUCGGCUCCCCCAUCGAUUAAGAACCUAACGAAAUUCGAAACUUGGUUUUAAUUUCAAAAACCCGUGAACCAACGAGUCUUUUAACCCAAGUUUCCCCCCAAACCAUUAGGCCGAGGGCCCCCCUUCCUGGGCGUCACCCG
rnacentral:rRNA from 1 species